CGAACACGUAAUCUGCAUACCUCAUAGUUCCAAGGUUGUAGUUAGAUUUACAGGAGUCAAAAACAGGCACAUACCGAUUUUAGAGGCACAAAUUAUAAAAGUAAAAGCUGAAUCACUAUUAAUUCGACUAAAAUGGUCUAAUCCUGAACUUAUACGAUACGGAGGGGUAAGAUCUAAAAUUCCAGUUUCCAUACAAUACAACAAGAACAUGAUGAGGGCAACCUAUUCACCAUCAUCCCACUCUGUCAUACGUACCUUGAAAUUGACGGUUUAAGCAGUGCCAGUGGUAGUUUGAUCGUCAUCAGAUGGGGUCUGAUCAGAUUGGUUAUCGACAAGAUCGUCGGGAUCCCGAGCCGGAUCAGAGUUGUCCAUGGCGGAGCGGGCCUUAUCGAGGAAGGGCUUGAAAGCCAUCUCAAUGGCGAGCCAACCAAAUGCCAAGGCUCCGAAGACGAAAAAUGCUUGCUUUGUCCCAGACGGUUUCUUUCCCAUUGGUCUUACUUCCUGC
rnacentral:misc_RNA from 1 species